UAAUACUGUCAUGUAAUGACUUC
rnacentral:miRNA from 1 species